rnacentral:rRNA from 1 species
UACGGAGGGGGCUAGCGUUGUUCGGAAUUACUGGGCGUAAAGCGCACGUAGGCGGCUUUGUAAGUUAGAGGUGAAAGCCCGGAGCUCAACUCCGGAAUUGCCUUUAAGACUGCAUCGCUAGAAUUGUGGAGAGGUGAGUGGAAUUCCGAGUGUAGAGGUGAAAUUCGUAGAUAUUCGGAAGAACACCAGUGGCGAAGGCGACUUACUGGGCACAUAUUGACGCUGAGGUGCGAAAGCGUGGGGAGCAAACAGG